ACUCCGGUUGAUCCUGCCGGACCUCACCGCUAUCGGGGUGGGACUAAGCCAUGCAAGUCUUAGGCUCGCGGCCACCCGCGGGCCUGGCGUACGGCUCAGUAACACGUGGCCAACCUACCCCAAGGAGGGGGAUAACCCCGGGAAACUGGGGUUAAACCCCCAUAGGAGACGGGUUCUGGAACGACCCGUCUCCGAAAGUGCCUCGCGGGGAUGCUCCGCGAGAGCAGCCUUGGGAUGGGGCUGCGGCCUAUCAGGUAGUUGGUGGGGUAACGGCCCACCAAGCCUAUAACGGGUACGGGCCCUGAGAGGGGGAGCCCGGAGAUGGACUCUGAGACAAGAGUCCAGGCCCUACGGGGCGCAGCAGGCGCGAAACCUCCGCAAUGCGCUAACGCGUGACGGGGCUACCCCGAGUGCCACCCUCGUGGUGGCUUUUGCGCGGUCUAAAAAGCCGCGCGAAUAAGCGGGGGGCAAGAUGGGUGUCAGCCGCCGCGGUAAUACCCGCUCCGCGAGUGGUGAGGACUAUUACUGGGCUUAAAGCGCCCGUAGCCGGCCAGGUGUGUCCUCCGUUAAAUCCACAGGCCUAACCUGUGGGCUGCGGAGGAUACUACCUGGCUUGGGGGUGGGAGAGGGCGGCGGUAUUCCCGGGGUAGGGGUAAAAUCCACUGAUCCCGGGAGGACCACCAGUGGCGAAGGCGGCCGCCCAGAACACGCCCGACGGUGAGGGGCGAAAGCUGGGGGAGCAAACGGGAUUAGAUACCCCGGUAGUCCCAGCCGUAAACGAUGCGGGCUAGGUGUCGGGCUGGCCA
rnacentral:rRNA from 1 species